GGCACGUGUAAUCGUUGCGGAGCAACGAUCGCAAAAGA
rfam:Candidatus Entotheonella sp. TSY2 genomic scaffold TSY2_scaffold00081, whole genome shotgun sequence.